GACAAGGCUGGAUGUCAAUGGAAUUGUGGAUUAACUCAUCAAGAUCCUUUCUAUAGAUGAUUCAUAUAUUGAGCUUGCACUUAGUUAUGUUCUUGGAUGGUUUGGUACUUCUAGCAUCGACACUUGAUAAAAUCCUACAAUUUGUAACAUUCUAGAGGUGCAGGCGGGAUUUAAUUCUCUGUAUAGUGGAGUUUGUGCACCCGAACAAAAGGGUUGCAUCUUAGGAACAUGGUUACGUUGAAGACAAGGUUUCAGAUUUCUGUCUUGGCUCUGGGAUCUGGUCAUGGAUUAGGUCAGUAUGGUAGCAGAAUUGUACCAUGCUGACACUUGGAAUGGCCUUUUGUCUCGGUAAUUUAGUAGGACAUCGAUUUUGCCUUUUUUUCAUUUUCCCUCUUGUUUGUUGUUUUUAGUGGUUCUUUAAAGGCUUUUGAGUGUUCGUUUAGGUCAAUAUUUAGGAUUAGGAGAUAUUUUAAGCCUAUGAUUGGGUUUGUGGUGCAGGUACCAAUAUUGGCAUCAAAUUUGAGCAAUUGAAGCUGGAUGUAAGCUCACUCCCCGGUAUCCUUCUUCCUCGCUUUCUCCCGACUUGCUUUUCUCCUGCAUGCGAAGCAAAUAGUGUAAACAAAGAGACUCAGACAACUCCUUUUGACAUCUUGGUUGGUAUUGGUGGUAGCGGUCAUCAUGGUCACCAUGCUGGUUCAUAGGUGCUGGUACCAACAGGGCUGACUUGGUUUGUCAUGUGCUAGGGUUGUGGAUUUAAUCUCAAGACUCGACAUCUCACCAAUCUGAUCUUGGAUGGACCGGUUCAAACUAUGAUUUGAAUCCUUGAUUGAAGCCUAUGUAAAUAACCUAUAUAUCGUGCAUUGUUUUGUUAAGAAUAGGGUCGGAGGAACCAAUAGUGGGCACCACACCGGUUCUUCGGUGGAACGAGUCAGUACGGGCUGUGCCGGGCCCGUACUGCGAGAGAAAACAUGCUGGAGCUGGAGGAGAAGAGAACCAGCGUCCGCCGCCGCUCCUUCUCCCCCCCUCCCCCGCUCUCUCUCUCUUGCUCUUCUUCUCCGGCUUUGGUAGUGAGCCAUUUUUAAAGUCGAAACUGUACUGAUGAACCACCAGUAUGGCUUGGAACGGGCGGAACUGGACGAUUCCGCAUUCCAUGGUUAAGAAAGUCUAUAUCUAGCUUGACCAAAAUCUGAUCCAAACUGGCUAUGGGCCUAAAGUUUAGACCUAAAUCUGCAUCACUUGAUGGGUUUGGAUUGUGUUUGCUCUCCUUUCAUGUCCUAUCCAAUCUUCAAGGUCCACAAUUUAAUUAUUUUCAAGAUAGCAUUAAACUUUUUUAUUAUUUUUUGUCUUAACAAGUCAUCCAUACUUGACCUUAGUUCCCUGGAAGGAAGUCAGAUUCAGGUAUGGGAAAGUGGGUCUUCAAACAAAAUAGUAAGAAUAAAAUGGUUGGUAAGUGAGUGCAGAGAUAAGUUUCCAAGGAGAUCCGGGAAGCAUGUGCAGCAUCUUAAACAGAAGAUCACUGCUACUGAGUUCUUGACCCAAUUUGAGGUCAAGCCUUAAUAUGGGCCCAUCUCACCCAUGGGUCUUAUGCUGAAGUUGGGUCUAAGGUAACAUAAGUGUCAUAUCAAGAUUUUUUUAAUUGUUUUCAUCUUUUUUAUUGUAGUUGUCUUAAAUAAACUAAGUUAAUCGGUUUCUUGCGGUACCUUUGGUGCUGGAAUUUGGAACUUUCAUGAUUAUCAUAUUGCUAGAAUUCAGCACAUGCAAUGUACAUGCUCUUUUCAGAAAAUUUUCUGGUUUUGGAAGUAAAUAGUGCUAUUAAGAGAAGUUAAUUCUCAGCUCCUUGGUAACUUGUUUGGCUUCUAUUUUCUUCAUGUCGAAAUCUAUUCAAAAUUUUGUCAAAAAGGUUUUGCAAUCCAGCAACAUGCUGGACUCCUUGGUUUUAAUGGAAGGCCUCAAUGUAACAAGCAUGCUAGGCUUUGAGGCUUGCCCAUUAUAUACAGAGAGAGGUUUGUUGCAUAGGACGUACUGUACUAUAUCGGUGUCAAAUCGAUAUGCAGUUUUGUACCAUAACGACACUUGGUACGUUUCGCCAUCUUGUAUUGUACUACAUACCGACAUUGUAAUAGGAUGGUACUAUUACAGGAUUCGGUACCGAGACGGCAAACUUUGAACAAUAUCGUAUCUUUUUGUAAAAAGAAAAAUAUGAUAUUCUUUUAAAGUGUUCAUUUCCUUUGAAAUCUUAUAUUUUAAUUAUUAGGAUUUUUUUUAGUUAGUGCUUUUGUUGACAUACAUUUUUUUAGAAACCUUAAAUUGACAAGAUUUCCUCAAUGUCGGACUAAAUUUUUGUAUCCAUUUGUAUUUUAUUUAUUUCGUUUUCUAUGUUUUAAUAUUAUUUUUUAUUCUCCCCACAUCGCAGUAGUUAUUUUACUUCAGACAACCAAUAUUGAUUAUGUGAUUUAAAAAAAAAUAUAAAAGCUGAUUCUCGGCAUAGUACUUUUCUCAAAUUGGAAUUGUUGUUGGUACCUAAUGGCUGCUAUGACUAAACCUUAGUUUUCACGACUCAAAGUGGGUGCAAGUGCGCCUGCAUGGAGUUCUUGUUGUUUCUGAAGAAUACUUGGCGUACACUUCUGAAGACCGUGUAGAUGCAGCCUGAUAAUUAUAUUUGUCGGUAAGCAUCUAUAGAUAAGUGUACAUACAGCUCUGGCCUGUCUGACAUGCUUCAUCUCCAAGAAACCUGAAGUCACUUGCUAUGUCACAUGGGGUUGACUGCAUGCACAUAUUACUUACCACAAUACGAGGUAGUUUUUCCAGUAUCGCUGCAAGAUUACAAGCUUUUCUGCUGUAGAGUGGCCUUUGAUUACUUCCAAUUGUUCAUCUGUGUGCAAAUUUUAUAUUUUCUUGUUUUAUUCUCUCAGUUGGCUGCACUACACAACAUUGAGUCAUGCAAUGCCAGAUUCUUAUGUUACAGGAGCUUGUAGAGCCCAAGAUUGGAGGCAGCUCAACUAUCACACACCAUAAUAUCUACCCAAUUGCAAGUGGCCUACAGCUGUAGUUCAAGAGGCAUAGAUGACCUGGUUGGUGCACUCCAAAAGGUCUGAGAUUUAAGGCUGUUAGAUUUGGUGGGCUCUGGUAUCUCAUGUCCUUGCAAUGUUAGAUGCUCUGGCCUGCUGCUUUUUUCUUUCUUUUUUUUGCUUUUCAGAAUAGCAGAAGAAAGGUGUUUAGGCAUUUUUUUAUAUAUAAUGAAAGGUGUCUGGGCAUGAGAAUUGCUGCUUGAUGCAUUUAUAUCAGUUAGCCAAAUGUUUCAUGGUCUUUGCUUGAAUUCAUAAUUCUUUGGUCAUCUUAUUUUUAAUUUUGUUGGUUAAGGUCCGCCAAAUCGUAGCUUAUGGGCCCAUGGAAGACUAGUCUAAUAGCUGGUUCUCUCAACCAUCUAAAUUUGAUCACAGUAAUGGAAUCCUUUGUUGGCAGCCUGAUAUGUGGCUGAGCUCUUUGGUGAGGUGCUGUGGACCGAUCUGACACUUGCUUCAAGGGCACUGUAAGAGAUUUUAUUUUUUGAUUCUCUUGAAUGUAUUUAUGCUAGAAGAGUGUGAAUUGCCCGUCAUAGCAGCAAAAAAAAAAAAAAGAAAAAAAAAAGAAAAAAAAAGGAAAAAAAAGGAAUCCUUAAUUAAUCUAGUUGAUGUUGGAAGAUUUGUUUCGAUGUUUAUUUACUAUCAAAAGAAAAUUGUCUUUUCUUUCUUCUCUCAUGGUAUUUUCUUGAGGAUCAGAGGUAUAUUUCACGGCAGAGAAGAAAUUUGCAGAUGCCGCGGCAAACAACCCAGGAGCAAGGAAACAGAGUAGUCAUCAUUGUGAAUUUUCAUGGCAGAUAGGCAGCAUUAAAUUAUCAGUCUGGAAGGAGCUAUCAUUCCCUUUACAGGUAUAUUGGUUGAGACCUUGUGGUCGUUGCUGCCUAAUAGAUCUUACCAUUUGCUGCUUGAUUGAAGUAUAUAUAUUAUGUUAUGAUGGAUCCACAGUUAGAACUGAUGGAUUCUUAGUGUGUACAUCUCUUGGAGCUUUUGAGUAGCUGUCAAAGGGAGCUGCAAGGUUCCUAAUCAAUCUCCAGCAAUAACGAUAGAGAAAUCAAUCAGUUUAAGUGAAAUUUUGCAAAUUAAAACUAGGAAAGAUUGCAACAGCUUCAGAGCAGAUUUGUUCAUCGUUAAGCCUGAUAUAUAUUGGUGAUCCUUUCCCAAGUAGCUUAAGCUUUUUAGGUCAGUUGCAUUGUGCAUUCAAAAUCCCCUCGAUGCUAAUUAUCUCAGUUGUUAUUUUGAUUCAUUUCAGUCAUUAUUGUCCCUCCACUCGUAUGGUCUAGACUGCGCAUGGAGGGCGAUGGGAGGUUUGAUAGGUUGUUCAGCUCCAAUAGUUUUCAGGAUGUUGAUCCAUAGACUACACAACAGCUCUGGGCAAAAUCAGACAGUGGUCAUGUACUGGGAUUAUAGAUUGGGGGUAGCACAGCUGCUCUGGUUUCGAAUCCUUCUUUUCAAUUCUCAUGAUAUCCAACCAAUUGAAAUUUAUUGCACUAAUGGUGGACUCUAUCCAAUUUCUAUAAUACUUCGAAUGGUUAAGCUCUUCUUGAAUCUCCCUUUGUAAGCAAUGCACCUCAUCCGCAUUAUUUGUGCUAGUUCGGUUCGAUGUAUUGGAUUCAAGAAGGAAUGCAAUGCUGAAUCCUAUAAUCAAUUCCUGUUAUGCUUGAUUUCGAUGCGAAAACUGGAACUAAAUUCCAAAGGAAGCCAAGCACAUCAUGUGGCAAGAACUAUUUGGAGAACCUCAUAUGGAUGGAUGGCAUGGAAUCAUUGAUGGUGUUCAUCUGAUGUGUGUGAGCUAUGUUGGAAAGCGGCAUAGCAGUUAUAAUUGUUUUUAAGGGACGGUCCAUGAAGCAUGAAGGGCAUUUAUAUAGUCGGUAAGAUGUUCUCCUUCUGUUCGAAGGUAUGCUUGUAGUAAACUUGGAAAUGUGGAGUAAAUGACGCAAAGACUCUUCAUGUGAACAAAGGGAAUAAGGCGCUCUUCUGAUUUGAAAGUUACUAUAUUUUAGUACCUAAGGUUCUGGAAAUUGUUGUCGAAGGAAUCUGCAGUGUUUCGUAAGUAGAUAAGGUGACAAAGGAAAGGAGAUAUGGCUUCAGUGCUUCACCUUCUGUAUUUUUGGAAUGGGGAAGGUAUGGAUUUAAUUCAAUAUUCAUGGACAAGGAGAUGUUGGUGAGAGAGAUAAAAACUUCUCGCCAACCAUCUUAACUUGGAGAAAUUUAGCUCUGCAAGGAAUGUGGCUGGAAGCAGUCAACUUUGCCUGAUAGGAAUCGGUGGCUUGAUAUAAAACUGUUGUGGAAAUGAGCUGGUCCAAACCAAUGCACAAGAGUAAGUGUGUAAUCCGGGAUAUAAAGAAGCUGAGCUUGGCAUAUAAAGAAGUUCCUGAGCUUGACUUUUUCUUUUUCUCCUUUCUUUCAGAAAAAUGGAGGGAAAUCCCACCCGUUUCAUUAAGUCAAUGAAAUUAGCUUGUCAUCAAGCGGUUACCAAGGAAAAAAAAAAGAGUUGCUCGCCAAGUUUCUAGCUAAGCUU